GGGAAUACCAAUUUAACACGCACCGUUCGGAGCUAUGCCGAUACCGUCGUCCUUCAAGCCGGCAAUGCCGUGGCUGAGGGAGCCAAGAUCAUCCAGCACCGCAUUGGGUCCGGGAAUUCGAAAAGCUUUAAGAUUACUGUGAAAAGAUUGGAGGAAGUUUCUGUGUCUUGUAGAGGGAUGGAAAGAGUUCAGUUAUUGAGAAGGUGGUUGGUUGCACUAAAAGAGGCUGAGAGAUUAUCUGCAGCUUAUUCUGAGAACAAUGAUAAG
rnacentral:misc_RNA from 1 species